AUCAAGCUGACACCUAAAAUUCACAAUAGGUGACAGUUAAUUCCUCAUGAUUGAGGAACAAACAUGGUGAAUACUGUUUUGUUUUCUUCUUCUUCUUUUUUUUUUUUUUAAAAAAAAAAAAAAAAAAAAAAAAAAAAAAACCACUCUGUGACACCGUGAGCCCAGACGUCUGUCCUCCAGAGCUUCCGUGGCUUAGGCCACGGAGGAGUUUAUGGUUCUUUGCUUUGCAGCCCCAGGAAGCCUUGAAAGGCAGACAGGCAGUGAGGCGUCUCACAUGGUGGGAGCAGGAGCAAGAGAGUGCGGCGAGUUCACACUUGUAAACUACCAGAGCUGGUGAGAACUUGCUUACUCUCAUGAAGACAGAACGAAGGGGAUGGCACUAAACCAUUCAUGAGAAAUCCACCCCCAUGAUCCAGCCUGCGGAUCACUUGAGGUCAGGAGUUCGAGACUGCCCUGGCCAAAAUGGUGAAGCCCCAUGUCUACUAAAAUGCAAAAAUUAUCUGGGUAUAGUGGUGUGUGCCUGUUAUCCCAGCU
rnacentral:lncRNA from 1 species